rnacentral:rRNA from 1 species
AGUUUGAUCCUGUCUAGGAUGAACGCUAGCUACAGGCUUAACACAUGCAAGUCGAGGGGAAACGAUAGAGAAAGCUUGCUUUUUCUAGGCGUCGACCGGCGCACGGGUGAGUAACGCGUAUCCAACCUGCCCACCACUUGGGGAUAACCUUGCGAAAGUAAGACUAAUACCCAAUGAUAUCUCUAGAAGACAUCUGAAAGGGAUUAAAGAUUUAUCGGUGAUGGAUGGGGAUGCGUCUGAUUAGCUUGUUGGCGGGGUAACGGCCCACCAAGGCGACGAUCAGUAGGGGUUCUGAGAGGAAGGUCCCCCACAUUGGAACUGAGACACGGUCCAAACUCCUACGGGAGGCAGCAGUGAGGAAUAUUGGUCAAUGGGCGAGAGCCUGAACCAGCCAAGUAGCGUGCAGGAUGACGGCCCUCUGGGUUGUAAACUGCUUUUAGUUGGGAAUAAAGUGCACCACGUGUGGUGUUUUGUAUGUACCAUCAGAAAAAGGACCGGCUAAUUCCGUGCCAGCAGCCGCGGUAAUACGGAAGGUCCAGGCGUUAUCCGGAUUUAUUGGGUUUAAAGGGAGCGCAGGCGGACCUUUAAGUCAGCUGUGAAAUACGGCGGCUCAACCGUCGAACUGCAGUUGAUACUGGAGGUCUUGAGUGCACACAGGGAUACUGGAAUUCAUGGUGUAGCGGUGAAAUGCUCAGAUAUCAUGAAGAACUCCGAUCGCGAAGGCAGGUAUCCGGGGUGCAACUGACGCUGAGGCUCGAAAGUGCGGGUAUCAAACAGGAUUAGAUACCCUGGUAGUCCGCACAGUAAACGAUGAAUACUCGCGAUUUGCGAUACACAGUAAGUCGCCAAGCGAAAGCGUUAAGUAUUCCACCUGGGGAGUACGCCGGCAACGGUGAAACUCAAAGGAAUUGACGG